rnacentral:rRNA from 1 species
UACAGAGGGGGCAAGCGUUAUUCGGAAUUAUUGGGCGUAAAGGGCGCGUAGGCGGCCUGGCAAGUGGAAGGUGAAAUCCCUCGGCUUAACCGAGGAACUGCCUUCCAAACUGCUUGGCUUGAGUCCGGGAGAGGUGAGUGGAAUUCCCAGUGUAGCGGUGAAAUGCGUAGAUAUUGGGAGGAACACCAGUGGCGAAGGCGGCUCACUGGACCGGAACUGACGCUCAUGCACGACAGCGUGGGGAUCAAACAGG